UAAAAAAUAAAAAGCCCAAAAUCACGCCUGAAACACACAUUCUCUCAUUCCUUCCAUCUUGCUCGAACCCAUCACACCCUCCUCCAUAUGAAACCCUCGCGCCUCCAUCUUAUCCGAUCUCACUCUCUCCAUCUCGCUCGAUCUCAUUACUCACUCCGUCCAUCUCUCUCAAUCUCACUCAGCAACUCCCUCCAUCUCUCUUUCGAUCUCACUCACUCGGGUCUCUCUCUCGGUCUCUCCAUCCAUCUUCGUCUCUCUCUCAAACGAUGACGCAACACCGACACCACGGGCGACGCACCUCCGCCGCCCCUCCACUUUUGAGAGCCCCUCCGUCGCCCCUCUCUCUUAGCUAGAGCUGUGGUAGACCAUAGUUUUGGGAAAGACCUUCCUUCUGUUUCGGUUGAGAGCUUUGAGUACUUUCCUGGAAAAGGUCUCAUUGCUACACUUAAUAGCCUUGAGGUAAGUCUAUAAAGAUUCACACAAAUUCUUGUUGAUUUUUCAAAAUAGUGACACUUGUGCCAUUUUUCUGUCUAAAUAUAUAUGGCAAUGAACACAUAUCAAUCAACCAAUAUAAAAGUAUAAUUGAUAGAUGUGCCGACAUUUAUCCAUUAGACUCUGCUCUAUUUAUUAUGAUGAUGAUGAUUGUUUCUCUUGACUUACUUUACAUGUUAUUUAUUUAUUUAUUCAUCAAGUGUUUAACAUUCGUUUCAAGUUAUUGCAGAUAGAAAGGGGAGAUUGUAAAUUGCUGAAAGUAUCACUUGGCUCUGUAGACUUUAUUACAUCAUGUUGUAAAUUUGAAGGUGAUUCAAUAAAAUCAAGGAUGCUGUGAGUGCAUCAUCGUAUGGAAGUGAAUUUGUUCGUGCUGCACUUUCAGUCAAUGAAAAGGCAUUCGUUUUGAUGUAUUGUAGUGUUGAAUUUUCAUCUUCCAUUUACUGGAAAUAAAGUUUGAUAUGAUGAGGUUUUGUUACAACUCUAUGCUGUCUAUGAUUUUGAUUUCACCACCGACGAGAACUGCCAGAAAAGCAAGAUUUUCUUCGUCGCUUGGUCACCUAACACAUCAAGGGUGAGGAGUAAGAUGGUGUAUGCAAGUUCUAAAGAUAGAUUCAAGAGGGAAUUGGACUGCAUUUCUGCUGUUCAUGCUAGCUAUAUUGGGAGCUUGUUCAAUCAUCAAUAGGUUCACCCG